CUCAAUUAAUUGAGUUAUUUUUUAUUGUUUGAUAUUAUUUCUUGUUAUAUAUGCUGAUGAGUGAUGACUGCUUCAAUAGGUUAAUUGUUUUGAGGAUGAUGAGCCAAUUGGCUAAGCAUAACUUAACAAAAGCAGAUUAUAUUAAUUAUCAAGAUAAGAAGAAGCUCAAUUUCCUUGAUGAUCUGACUCAUGCUAAACCUGAUAUGGUUUUCUUUUUACCACUUACAGGUGUUUCUCAUCAUAAGAAGGCGCGUGGUUGUUUUUGAUAAAUUCCUACAAAACAUGUGCAUGCUUACACAAGGGUUAACAGCUUCAAUUUUUCAAAAAACAAAAAUUACUAAUAUAAGAUUAUCUGCUUGCUUCAGAAUUGUCUGAAUUGGUUAGAUGUGAAACUCUAUCUCAUGUAUCAAUAAAUGCCUUCCUCGAUGCUGACUGGUCACUGGUUGAGAAUACUGAAGACUAGAAGAAAUACAUUUGUGCCUGGAAGUCAAGGCACUGCAAUCAUUGCACCAAAACCAAUUCGCGCGACUCCUGACCUUGUUACCGGAUUGGAGGAUUUGUCUCAGCCAUGAACUCAGUCCCUCAACUGAUCAAAUGGAUAUUUGCUCGCAAAACCUCUGUUAAAUUAUCUUUGUAAAGCUCUAGUCCAAACACAGUAGGAAGGAGGGAGGGGGGAGAAGAGUUAGCCAGAAGAGCUUGUUUGUAACCCGCCUUUUGUAUUAUACAUUUAUUUUUAUUAUAUAAUAUUUGAUUAAUUUAA